AGCGAACGCUGGCGGCAGGCUUAACACAUGCAAGUCGAACGGUCCUUCGGGAUAGUGGCGGACGGGUGAGUAACACGUGGGAACGUGCCUUUAGGUUCGGAACAACACAGGGAAACUUGUGCUAAUACCGGAUGUGCCCUUCGGGGGAAAGAUUUAUCGCCUUUAGAGCGGCCCGCGUCUGAUUAGCUAGUUGGUGAGGUAAUGGCUCACCAAGGCUACGAUCAGUAGCUGGUCUGAGAGGAUGACCAGCCACAUUGGGACUGAGACACGGCCCAAACUCCUACGGGAGGCAGCAGUGGGGAAUCUUGCGCAAUGGGCGAAAGCCUGACGCAGCCAUGCCGCGUGAAUGAUGAAGGUCUUAGGAUUGUAAAAUUCUUUCACCGGGGACGAUAAUGACGGUACCCGGAGAAGAAGCCCCGGCUAACUUCGUGCCAGCAGCCGCGGUAA
rnacentral:rRNA from 1 species